rnacentral:lncRNA from 1 species
CCCGAUGCAAAUAAAAGAAAUGCAAACUCGAAAAGCACAUGAUCAAUUUGUUUUGAGGUUCGGCACUUUGCUUACGUCCCUGCCAACUUCUCAACACUCGAGAAUGUUGGAUCUCCACUAGAUGAUGCUUUUGCGGGCAAGCACCAAGCCUUCACAUCAACUCCUUCUUCUUUCAAGCUUCAAGAUUUUGCUUUUCUCUCUUUUUACAAGAUUAAAUCUCACUACAAGUUUCACUCAAGUUUAGAGAGAGAAUUGAGAGCUAAGAGUAUUAAGAUCACUGAAGUUUUUAAGCUCAAAUGAACUAUCAAGUUGCUGCAGAGAGAGGCCUCAAUACCAUCUAUUUAUAGCCUCGGACAGCUUCUGUCAGUUGUACUUUCGGGCGCCCUAAACUUUUUCCGGGCGCCCAGAAGUUGUGCACGCCAGCCGCCUGUCGGACACGUGCGCCGCUUUUCUUGACUUUGUAUGUUUGGGCCGUCAAAAGUUGUGGGCGCCCAAAACACGAGGAACAGCUUUUCUGACACGCGCCGCCUUCUCUGGAUUUGGGCUGUCAGAAAUUUGUGGGCGCCCAGAUCUCGAGGGACAACUUUUCUGACACGCGCC